rnacentral:rRNA from 1 species
GAUCUGGCUGAGUGGUCUGCCUCACGGUUUUGUACUGCUCGGGCCGGGUCUUUAUUUUGCUUGGUGAGCAGGCAUGCCCUUCACUGGGUGUGUUUGUGAACCAGGACUUUUACUUUGAGAAAAUUAGAGUGUUUAAAGCAGGCGCACGCUUGAAUACAUUAGCAUGGAAUAAUAGAAUAGGACUGCGGUUCUAUUUUGUUGGUUUCUAGGACCGGAGUA